AUCAGCCUUUCGGGUGCGAUUCUGUGGGGUUGAGGAGCUUAACACCUUCCUGCUUUGCAUAUUCGUGCUCUUGGGUGUACUUGCCCGUGUGGUUGGUUAACAUCAAUUUUGGUGGUCUUAAAAUGACUGGAGGAAUGUAGCUUCGAUCUUGUAUUGAAGUGUUAUAGCCUUCGGUAGAUGUGAUGAUCGAGAUUGAGGAUUGCAACGGAUACCCUUCGGGGCUACCUGUCUGGUCUCUGAUCGUUGCUCUGGCGCCGAAAGCUUGCUUACGGUUAUCAAAGUCGAUGGUCAAUAGGUUAGAACGGGUUAAAUUCGUUAAGGAUGUUGACGUAAUGGCUCU
rnacentral:rRNA from 1 species